GUGCUUUGGCAGCACAUAUGCUAAAACUGGAAUGAUACAGAGAGGAUUAGCCUGGCCCUUGUGCAAAGAUGACACCCAAAAUGAAGGGGGAAAGAUUAUACAA